rnacentral:rRNA from 1 species
UACGUAGGUGGCAAGCGUUGUUCGGAAUUAUUGGGCGUAAAGGGCGCGUAGGCGGUUUGUUAAGUCGGCUGUGAAAGCCCGGGGCUCAACCCCGGAGGGUCAGCCGAUACUGGCAGGCUAGAGUACAGAAGAGGUAACUGGAAUUCCCGGUGUAGCAGUGAAAUGCGUAGAUAUCGUGAGGAACACCAGAGGCGAAGGCGGCUACCUGGACAAUUGCUGACGCUCAGGCACGAAAGCGUGGGGAGCAAAAGGG